rnacentral:rRNA from 1 species
GAUUCACAUUUGAUCUUGAUGUGGUGUGAAGCUUUGUUUAAAGAUAUUACCCAUGCAUGUUUAAAAUAGCUUCAUCUUUUUGGGGCAAUUUGCGUAGAGCUCAUUAAAACAUCUGUAACAUACAGCGUAGUGGAUAAAUUACAAGGAUACUCCCGGUAACUCCAUGCCUAAUACUUGCAUCAAACAUUUGACUAUGGUGUGUAGUGGGGUAACUCAUUACAUCUGUGGAAAGAUGGCAUUUAUUAGUUUUGAACCAACUGUUAUAUUGUCAGCAAUGGCAGUAUAAUUUGAUUGACUUCUAAUAACUCAACGGAUCUCACUUUACUGCUGAGACAGACGCUAUUGACAGAUGAUGUAUUAGACUGUAAUCAGUGUAGUGUACUGAUUAAUCUAUAACGCUAACGGAAAUUGAGAAAUUGAUUCCGGAGAAAGAGCCUGAGAGACUGCUCUUAUUUCUAAGGAAAGCAGCAGGGACGAAAAUUGCACACUGCGCAAUUGCGCGAUGCAGUGACAAUCUGUAAUUGUUUUUAAUUAGGUUAAACUUUUUAAAAAAUAAUUAAUACAAUAUUGUAUAUAAACUCAUUUUAGGAAAAAGAUGGCCAUAGCUUUGCCAGCAGCAGCGGUAAUAAUGCAUCUUUGAGUUUGACAUCCAAUUAUUGCGCUUAAAACGUUCGUAGUUGGUAUUAUUAUUUAUUGUCUAUGUGGUGGCCUUUGGUCACACUUAACUGUUCUAUGCUGUGGUUUUUACUGCAGUUUUAGACAUAUAGAUUUAUUUUUUAAUAAAUAAUAUAAAUUGUUGCGGGCUAGCUUCGGUUAGCUUGAUGACAAUUUUUUACCAUGAGAAAAAGAGUACGCUAAAAGUGGGCUCUCAAUGCUUGAAUCAUUCAGCAUGGAAUAAACACAACAGGCUUACAUUGUGCUGUGGUGGGAGGUGUCAAAGCCUUUCAUUAUUGUAUGGUGGGUGGGUGUGCUAUAUUAUGUUGGGCAACCAAUAUGAUAUUGUAGAUCCAUUUUGGUCCUUGUUUAUACGUUGGUUUUUCACGACCAAGUCAUGAUCGAUAGGGAUGGUUGAGGAGGUGUAUGUAUGCGUGGGAGAGAGGUGAAAUUUGAUGACCCCACUGCAGACAAACAAAAGCGAAGGCAUUCAUCAAUUACAUUUCCUUUAAUCAAGAACGACAGUUAGAGUAGCAAAGGCCAUUAGAUGCAGCUGUAGUUUUAACCAUAAACGAUGACAUCUCAGGAUAUCAUUGAUGAUUUUCUUGUUUUCAGAUUGUGGUUUCGGCCAUAUUUGAUUAACUGCUAAUGAAAAUCUUGUUCAUUGAAGUAUAUAGCGUAAGUUAUAUCUUCGCCUCGACCAAUGGUGAACUGUGUGGGAAACCAACAGCUUUCUGCUUGGAGUGUAUGAUAGCAAUGUCGAAAUUUAAAAGAAUUGACGGAAGAAUCACCACCAGUGGUGGAUCGUGCGGCUUAAUUUGACUCAACGCGGGAAAUCUCACCAGGUCAGGACACCGUGAGGAGAGACAGAUUGCAGUUCUUUCUUGAUUCUGUGCUUUGUUAUAUGUAGUGCAUGGCCUUUGGGAAGUGAGUGGAUUGAUUUUUCUGAUUAAUUUCGAUAACUAGCGAGACCCACACCUUGAGUUUUCAUGUUGGUAAAACAGCCUGAAGACAUUAUGUAAAUACAGUGCGAUAUGAUUUAUUCAUACCGGGAAGGGUCGUUUAUUCGACUUCGCUGUUCUUAAAGGGACUACUGUUGUUAUAAACAGUGGAAGCUGUGGGCGAUAAAAGGUCCGUGAUGCUCUCAGAUGUUCUGGGCCGCUCGCGCGCUACACUGAUAUGAUCAAUAAGUUUUUUGUAUAUUUAGAUUACGUUUUGUGCAGCAAUGUGCAGGACCUAAAUUACCCCUGGUUCGAGAGGACUGGGAAAUCUUUGAAAUCAUAUCGUGCUGGGGAUAGACGAUUGUAAUUAUUCGUCUUGAACGAGGAAUCUCUAGUAAACGCCAGUCAUCAACUGGCAUUGAAUACGUCUCUGGUCUUUGUACACACCGCCCGUCGCUGUUACCGAUUGAAUGGUUCAAUGAGUAGCAAGGAGUUUUGUUGUUAGUAAUAACGACAGUUCGAAUUGCCUCAAAUUGUAUCAUUUAGAGGAAGCAAAAGUCGUAACAAGGUAUCAGUAGGUGAACCUGCAGAAGGAUCAAGCUUGAUCCUCCUGCAGGUUCACACCACAUCAAGAUCAAAUGUGAAUC